CCUGUUUUAUACUGGAAGUGCUUUAGUAACUCAUGUAAAAAUGCAGGCCUUUGACAGGAAGUAUGGCCAAGGCCACUGCACUAACACUCAGACCCUGGAACAUCUGUUGGAAACUUGUGGGGCACUAUUUAUGACUGUUGCAAUAGUGUAUAGUACUAUACUUUCAGUGUCUUUUUAGAAUGGGCUUUGACAGUGUACAGUAGGAUUAAGUACUCACAAUUAUGCCCAUGGAUUAACAAUUUCCCUAUCAUCCAUAAAAAUUGCCAUUAUGGCAGACACUAACUUGACAAUAUUUCUAAAUAUGCAGUUGGACAAUGAUUCAACUAAGAAUUAAGGAAACAUUUUAAUAGUUAAUAUGGCAAUUGAAAACAAACACUUGAAGGGAAGUUGAAGCAAUAGUCCUAGGAUGCACAGUUCCUUUAAAAGAUUUAAAAAGAAAAGCGUUACUCAAGUUACUUUACUGGAGGAAAAGUCAUUAGAACAAUAUGCAUUCCAAGACAAAGUGGCCAGGUAAAGAUGCAAAGAGCCACCUCAGAAACAGGAGUGAUUUCUUUAGGAGCAACUGCUGAGAGAAGACCACUUCCUUGCAGCAAUGAAUCAGGUCCCAAAUGAAGGCAAGUGCCUCUGCAAAGUAUCCAGUGAGAGUCCUGAUGGUGAAGAACAUUGGUCUCACGUACCCCCGUAGAACCAACAUGGCACAGACACCUGGUGCAAUGAAUCUGUUGAAAGCUAAGAAGGCUGAACAAACUGACAGGGAGCACUGACAAAGAGUUGAACAAGCCUGCAGAAUUGAUUGGGUGGUCUUGAAGCCUUUCUCAGUUUGGCCAGUUUUGGAACCAAUAGCCUUGGAGGUAUAACAGCGAUCAUUGACACUUGAACACACAUUUAUGCCCUGAUGAGAAAUGACAACUAACAGCAUCACCCUAAAGGCUGUGUUGAACUUCAGUAUGGCUGAAAGAAAACAUGCACAACAGUUGGUAAAAACAAGAGCAGCCUCCAGAAUUGUUUCAUUGCAUUGGCUCAGUGCUAAAAUGCCCUCAAGUGCAGGAGUUGUGCAAUCACUAAAGGCAACCAUAGCCUUAUACACAGAGCCAAAAAGUCUAAAUCCUCUAACCAUAGUGAACAUUGUUGAAAAUAUGUUUUAGUCCUUCAAGAUCUUUUACUGUCAAAAAGACGACAGCGGGCUUUGUAAAAGUCCUUUGUUGGUACACACCGUUUCAGUGUUAUAGCAUCAUUUUUGCUCAAGUGUUCAGUUCUCUGGGUUUAUCAGUCCUCAAUAUGAACUCACAAGGGCAAAGCUUGU
rnacentral:lncRNA from 1 species